rnacentral:rRNA from 1 species
UACGGGGGGGGCAAGCGUUGUUCGGAAUUACUGGGCGUAAAGGGCUCGUAGGCGGCCAACUAAGUCAUACGUGAAAUCCCUCGGCUUAACCGGGGAACUGCGUCUGAUACUGGAUGGCUUGGAUUUGGGAGAGGGAUGCGGAAUUCCAGGUGUAGCGGUGAAAUGCGUAGAUAUCAGGAGGAACACCCAUGGCGAAGGCAGCUCUCGUGGGUCGGCCCUGACGCUGAGGCGCGAAAGCGUGGGGAGCGAACGGG